CUGAUUUGACUUUAAUGUAAAGCCCUGAAGACAGAUGUAGAACAACAGUACAAUACAGCUGAAUGAACAGAUGUGUGCACCAACCAUACGAUCAUAAAAUAAGAGAAGCAGAAUGGCCAGUAAAGCUCAGAAAAGAGCAGCAGAACAGGGCAGCAGAGUUCAGGGGCAGUCAGAGAGGUCUCAAGAGAAGCAUCCCUUGGGACAUGCCGUGUGAAGACACUGAAGACAUUUCCCACAUGCGACUGAAAUCCCACCCUGUUCCACUAGAGGGUUGUUGCUGAAGGACAAGCCUGAGCAGCAGCACUAAGUGACAGGCCGUGGGCUCUACCUGUGUGUAGUUCUAACUGUUGUUUCCAAAUGCAGGGUUACAGCCUCUACUUCCCACCACUGGUUCUUCUCGCAAAAGCAAUUUAUGAAGCAAAAGCAACUGAAAUGUUAUCCUUUCCCCAGCUUCUGAGCCAUCAAGGCUCCCACUACACUCCUUUCUCAGUCUGACUUUGCUACCUAUUGAACAAGAAUGCUUGACAGAUUAUAAAACAUAAAGAUAAAAAAGACAUUAAAUGUCAUCUCUCUU